AGAGUUUGAUCAUAGCUCAGAUUGAACGCUGGCGGCAGGCCUAACACAUGCAAAGCUUGAGUGGUAUGAGGGCUUGCUCCUGGAUUCAGCGGCGGACGGUGAGUAAUGCCCAGGGAAUCUGCCCGGUAGUGGGGAUAACGUCCGAAACGGGCGCCAUUACCGCAUACGUCCUGAGGAGGUGCGGGGAUCUUCGGACCACGUCAGAUGAGCCUUAGUCGAUUAGCUGGUGGGGCAAGGCCUGCGACGAUCCGUAACUGGUCUGAGAGGAUGAUCAGUCACACUGGCCCAUACCACUCCUACGGAGGCAGGGAAUAUUGGACAAUGGCGAAAGCCCAUCCAGCCAUGCCGCGUGUGAAGAAGGUCUUCGGAUCGUAAAGCACUUUUAAGUUGGGAGGAAGGCAGUGUUAACACCUUGCUGUUUUGACGUUACAAUAGAAUAAGCACCGGCUAACUUCAGCCAGCAGCCGCGGUAAUGCGAGGGGUGCAAGACCGGAAUUGGCGUAAGCGCGGUGGUUCGUUGGAUGAACCUCGGGCUCAACUUGAACCGCAUCCAAAACUACUGAGCAGGAGUACGGUAGAGGGUGGUGAAUUUCCUGUGCGGUGAAAUGCGUAGGAUAUAGGAAGGAACACCAGUGGCGAAGGCGACCACCUGGAUUGAUACCGACACUGAGGUGCGAAGCGUGAGCAAACAGGAUUAGAUACCCUGGUAGUCCACGCCGUAAAUGAUGCCGACUAGCCGUUGGGAUCCCUGAGAUCAUAGUGGCGCAGUUAACGCGAUAAGUCGACUGCCUGGGAGUACGGCUGCAAGCUAAACUCAAAUGGAUUGACGGGGGCCCACACGCGGAGUAGCCAUGUGGUUUACCUGAAGCACGCGAAGAACCUACCUGGCCUUACGUUGGAGAACUUUCCAGAGAUGGAUUGGUGCCUUCGGGAACUCAGACACAGGUGCCGUACGUGGCUGUCGUCAGUCGUGUCGGGAGAUGUUAAGGUUAAGUCCCGUAACGGAGUGCAACUCCUUGUCCUUAGUCACCAGCACCGGUAAUUUACAGACUGCCGAACCGGAUAGGCGGCCCUGCAUGGCCAGGUCACACGUGCUACAUGAUGGUUUGCCAGGCUGCCGCAGGAGCUAAUCCCAUAAACCGAUCGUCCGGAUCGCAGUUCAACUCGACUGCGUGAAGUCGGAAUCGCUGCAAUCGUGAAUCAGAAUGUCACGGUGAAUACGUUCCCGGGCCUUGUACACCACCGUCAAUCAUGGGGAGAGGUUGCUCCAGAAGUAGCUAGUCUAACCGGGACGGUUACCACGGAGUGAUCUAUGACUGGGUGAAGUCGAAACAA
rnacentral:rRNA from 1 species